CUGGGUCUGUUUACAUAACAUGUAGCCAGCUGUAGUGGGGAGAUCUUAUAAAAACCUAAACCUGCUGCUCCCCAUCACCCUCAGGACGGUUUUCCCCAUGGCUCUGAGGUCCCCCAGACAGGUCCUGCCUCUCUGAUCACCUGUGCUCCAGCCACACCAAGUCUCUGGCCCUAGAUCACCCUAGCUCCUCCCGCUCACCUCCACUUGGAAAGAAAUCACAGUUGCACACACCCCGCCCUCCUCCUCUCCUUUGGUAAUUGCCCAGUUCUGUCCCCAGAUAAGGGGAGUGUGUGGGGACAACCUUCAUGUCCCCAGCACCUUCUCUCCAAUGCAGACGGUGGACUGAGGGAAGGCCGAGGGAGACAUCUGGCAGGAUAUAAAGAUGCUUCAUGAGGAUGUGUGUCCCCAGCCCUGCGCACAGGCCCUGGUACCAGUGAGUGCUGGGCAAAUAGGAGCUUCGCUCAGGACUGAACGUACCGCCUGAGGGACAACGGCACAAGGAGGAGAGAGGUAGAGAUGUAUGUCCGGGGGAUGCCGCCACUUACUCUUUCUGUGUCCCAGCAUCUCUGUGGAGGACAGCGAGAGAGGACAGCAUCACCCUCAGCGCCCUACCUGAAAGGUACACGCCUCGUUCCCCAAGGGCAUCUGGGGCCCAAAGGCCAGGCAGGCCUGGGCUCGAAGGCCUCCCUGGGCACCCCCACCCUGGCCGCUGGGCAGACACAGGCUCACAUGGAGGCCCGGAUGGAGGAGGCUGCACAAGGGCUCCCCAGGCAUGCAGGGGGCAACUGCUGGUUUGUGGUGAAAGGCUGGAGGAUGCGGAGCAGGGGGAUACGCCCCUGGGGGCUGGGGCACCAGCUGCUUGCCUGACCCCAGGAGCCCCUCCUGGAAACCAACGUGAUUGAAAAACUCACCCAAGGGCAGAGAAUCUGGAAGGGAGAGAAAGGGAAGAGAAUCAAAACCCAGGAAGUUUUUGGCCCUCAGAAGCCUCCGCAGACCCGCAGCCUCCCCCUUUGCAGCGCCCCUACCCUCGGGGGGCUUGUCAAUGAUGGGCUCCAGGCCAUCCUCGUCCGUCAUGCCUCUGAUGGUCAUGGAGGUCAGUGGGGUCACAAACUGGUAGGCCAGCGACAUCUGCAGGGCCUUGGCCGUCGCGGUGGCCUUCUCCUUCCCCUCCAACUUCAUCCUACAAGACACACACCGGCUCCAAGCCCCACGGCCUGGAUGACAACGGACUUGAACUCCCCGGCCCUUUUGCUCAUUUGGUCACUCACUCACUCAUUCAGCAAACACGAAUCAGGCACCUGCAGUGCCCCUGUUCCGUGGCCGCCUUCAAGGGCCUCGUGAUUUAAAGCCCUCCCACCUGGAAAACCUGGCGAUUCAGCAGGGUUGGGGGACGCGCCUCAGAAAUACGCAGAGAAUUUAACAGCGGGGAGAUUCUGGGGAGCGGUCUAACUUCUCUGAGCCUCCGCUCGCUCCUCUGCGAAAUGGGAAUAAUGAGGAAAUUCCCCGGCAGCCCGUGAGGAUUGCCCAAGCGUGUCUGGACGCGGCGGCCCCCUCAGUAAAGGGCAGCCUCUCCCUGCCCGGCAGCUCAGCGGAGGCAAACCGGGUCCCGCCCACGCUGUCGACUGGUCGGUACGAACUCAGUGAGCGAAGCCCAACGCCAGUCAGCCUGACCCGCUCCCAACCUCGAAGGCCCAGAAGCACCCCUUCUCCGUUCACCUCACUGUUCCAGAGGCCCUGGCGUCCACCCCCGCCGCAGGGGUCGUACCGCUUGGCCAGCAGCUCCUGGAUGGUGAGGUAGGCCCAGAGCCGUUCAACGUGGUUCUCCAGCACGUGGCCCCGCUCCUGGAGCAGCUUCUUCAUCUCCUCUUCAUCCACCAGGCAGGUCGCCUUGAAUUCUCGGCCCUCCUGAGGGUGGUCACGGGGAGAGGGGCCGGGCGCCGCGAAGGGCACGACCGCUGGCUGGUGGCGGAGGGCCCGGGACCCCCCCCCCCUCCCCCCACAUCCGGGCUCUGCGAUUCUUUCUCAGCACUGCCCUUCCCCGAGCUGCGGUCCUAACGCUCACUCAUCCCUUCAUCCCGCACACGCUUGCUGAGCACCGUCAGUGAGCCAGGGGGGCCUCGGCCCUGGGGACCCCAGGAAUGGGAGGACCAGACCCUGGCCUCCUGAAGUUACUCUCUCUGGGACGUGCCAGCAAGCAUCCAGCUACUUCCACCAUCUAGCCGUUUCCACCGUGUCCCCUCCUUCAAAUGCCCACCGCGGCCCCACCUGCAAAUGCUGUUCUGUCCCCAGCUACCAUAGUGGGACUUCACUUCCUGAGGGAAUCCCGUGCCCCAGGCACCGCGCAAGCAUAUUACAUAGAUUAUUUCACUUAAUCCACACAACUCUCCAAGGCAGUAUCACCCCACGGUACAGAAAAAGAAACUGAGGCCUGGAGAGCUGGACCCAUUUGCUCAAGGUCACCCAGCCGGUCAGGGCGGAGCCAGGGUCCGGCGCAGCUUUCCUCACCCAAAGACCCCGUUCUGAACGCUUGACCACACAGCAGGGCUUGAAGCCACCCCCAGCAGGACAGGGUCCAUGUCUCACACACCUGUGACCCCCACAGCAUGCACACGCACACAUGCACUUGCACCGUGGCGCCAAUCUGGGUGUUCAGGAAAAGACUGUCAAGUGAAACGGAAGAGGCUGGCCUCUUGCUCUCUCAAGCCUUUGCGGAGAACGAUGUAAGGAAUAACAGGCGAUCCGUUUUGGGCCAAGGGACUACAAAUAAUCAAGGCUAUGUCGGUUCCAUCCCAGCCCAUCCCCUGGAUGCCUGCGUGGAGGAAUGUUCUGGCCUGGGAGGCCUGGAGCUUGGACCCCUAACUACAACAACAUCUGGGAUUUCCUCAUGUGCCCUGUGCUUCCCUGAAUGCUUUACCCAUGCAUGCGACACGGGCAAAGAGGAAACCGAGGCUCAAGCAAGUCAGCAGCUCACCCCAGACCAUGCAACCAGGGGCUUGCCCCUGCUGAGGGGACGCCUUCCCCAGCCUCAGCAUCAGGAUUUGGCUAAGUCGCUCUGAGAACCAGGAGUGCCGAGUUCUCUGGGAUAUCAACCACACAACACCUACCUUCCUCACCCCUAGGGUGGCUUGCAGCCCCUGCCUGGUUCUCGGGCCAAGCCUGGACACUUCGUGAGGGGUUGGACCAGGCUGAGAAGUCCCGGGGGCCCACCACCACCCCCAGCCAGCCCACACACCUUUUUUCCCGAGAAGGAUUUCUUGAUAAGUUGGCUUGCCAGUUCCUUGGGGAGGAAGGACGCCUGGGCAUCCAGCUUGCUGAUCCCCUGGGGCUCAAAGAUGUCCACGUCGAUCUGCAUCAUUGAAGCAGCCAGGCUCCCAUUCGGGCCACCAUCAAGUCUCAGCCAAGAGCCAACCCGUGUCCUGGCCACCUACUGUGUGCCACACCCACCCAGCCCUCAGCACAGGGCCUGGCAUGUUUACGCACUCCAGAAAUAUUGGCCAAAUGAAGGUGUGCAUGCCUGGGUCCCUCAACUCGCCCGCCACUGAGGUGCCAGUGACAGUCACAGCCCCUCGGUCUUCCCGGGACUUCCUAGCCUACCGACUACGUGGAUAUUUAAUAUCUGUCGUGAUCCUUGUGGCAACUCUGGGACACACAGGAAGCCCCAUUUAACAGAUGAGCAAACUGAGGCUCAGAGAGGAAGAGGAGACUGGAGGGUUCAGGUAGCUCCCUGCCCAUGAAGAACCGACUAGAACCCGCCCAAGGAGUCAGUCCCUUUCCUGUGUGCUCAGGCCUGGCAUGGCACACGGUGGGCCCGGAGCCAGUCCUCAGAGCCAUGGCGACAGAGAGUCGGGAGCCCUGCCCCAGAUAUGGCUCCCCUGCAUACAGCCACCCGCAAUCUACC